GACGAACGCUGGCGGUGUGCUUAACCAAUGCAAGUCGAACGGUAAGGCCCUUCGGGGGUUACCGAAUGGGGAAAGGGUGGGGAAAAAGGUGGUUAACCUCCCCCCUUCCCGGGGUAACAGGCGGAAACGGGUGGUUAUAAUGGAUAAUAGCUUGGAAGGCCUCUUGGGGGGUGGAAAGAAUUUUUUUGGGUUGGGGAUGGACUCGCGGCCUAUCAGCUUGUUGGUGAGGUAGUGGCUCACCAAGGCUUCGACGGGUAGCCGGCCUGAGAGGGCGACCGGCCACAUUGGGACUGAGAUACGGCCCAAACUCCUACGGGAGGCAGCAGUGGGGAAUAUUGCACAAUGGACGGAAGUCUGAUGCAGCAACGCCGCGUGCGGGAUGACGGCCUUCGGGUUGUAAACCGCUUUCAAUUGUGACGAAGCGUUUUUGUGACGGUAGCAGUAGAAGAAGCACCGGCUAACUACGUG
rnacentral:rRNA from 1 species